CAUGGCUCAGAUUGAACGCUGGCGGCAGGCUUAACACAUGCAAGUCGAACGAUGAUUAUCUAGCUUGCUAGAUAUGAUUAGUGGCGGACGGGUGAGUAACAUUUAGGAAUCUGCCUAGUAGUGGGGGAUAGCUCGGGGAAACUCGAAUUAAUACCGCAUACGACCUACGGGUGAAAGGGGGCGCAAGCUCUUGCUAUUAGAUGAGCCUAAAUCAGAUUAGCUAGUUGGUGGGGUAAAGGCCCACCAAGGCGACGAUCUGUAACUGGUCUGAGAGGAUGAUCAGUCACACCGGAACUGAGACACGGUCCGGACUCCUACGGGAGGCAGCAGUGGGGAAUAUUGGACAAUGGGGGCAACCCUGAUCCAGCCAUGCCGCGUGUGUGAAGAAGGCCUUUUGGUUGUAAAGCACUUUAAGCAGGGAGGAGAGGCUAAUGGUUAAUACCCAUUAGAUUAGACGUUACCUGCAGAAUAAGCACCGGCUAACUCUGUGCCAGCAGCCGCGGUAAUACAGAGGGUGCGAGCGUUAAUCGGAAUUACUGGGCGUAAAGCGAGUGUAGGUGGCUCAUUAAGUCACAUGUGAAAUCCCCGGGCUUAACCUGGGAACUGCAUGUGAUACUGGUGGUGCUAGAAUAUGUGAGAGGGAAGUAGAAUUCCAGGUGUAGCGGUGAAAUGCGUAGAGAUCUGGAGGAAUACCGAUGGCGAAGGCAGCUUCCUGGCAUAAUAUUGACACUGAGAUUCGAAAGCGUGGGUAGCAAACAGGAUUAGAUACCCUGGUAGUCCACGCCGUAAACGAUGUCUACUAGCCGUUGGGGUCCUUGAGACUUUAGUGGCGCAGUUAACGCGAUAAGUAGACCGCCUGGGGAGUACGGCCGCAAGGUUAAAACUCAAAUGAAUUGAC
rnacentral:rRNA from 1 species